CCAAUAGCGUAUAUUAAAGUUGUUGCAGUUAAAAAGCUCGUAGUUGAAUUUCGGGGUUAGUAGGUUGGUCAUGCCUCUGGUAUGUACUGGUCUCACUGAUUCCUCCUUCCUGAUGAACCGUAAUGCCAUUAAUUUGGUGUUGCGGGGAAUUUGGACUGUUACUUUGAAAAAAUUAGAGUGUUUAAAGCAGGCAUUUUUGCUUGAAUACAUUAGCAUGGAAUAAUAAAAUAGGACGGCAUGAUUCUAUUUUGUUGGUUUCUAGGAUCACCGUAAUGAUUAAUAGGGAUAGUUGGGGGCAUUAGUAUUCAAUUGUCAGAGGUGAAAUUCUUGGAUUUAUUGAAGACUAACUACUGCGAAAGCAUUUGCCAAGGAUGUUUUCAUUAAUCAAGAACGAAAGUUAGGGGAUCGAAGACGAUCAGAUACCGUCGUAGUCUUAACCAUAAACUAUGCCGACUAGGAAUCAGACGAUGUUAAUUUUUUAAUGACUCGUUUGGCACCUUACG
rnacentral:rRNA from 1 species